AUGAGUGUCUUCAAGCUCCCUGCUUCGGUUUGUGACGAGAUGAGUCGUAUGAUCUGUUAAUAUUGGUGGGGAGUUGAAAACGGGAAGAAGAAGAUGGCCUGGAUGAGUUGGGACAGAUUGGGGCUACCUAAACCUAUGGGUGGCAUGGGAUUUAAGGAUAUGAGGGCAUUUAAUCAAGCAUUGUUGGCCAAACAAGCUUGGCGCCUAAUAGGCACGCCGGACAGCCUCUGUGCUCGUCUUAUGAAAGCAAGAUAGUUCCCUUCGGGACAACUGUUGGACACGUCGUUCUCAGGCAACAGUUCUUCAGUGUGGAAGGGUAUCUUACAUGGUCUCGAGCUGCUGAAGAGAGGUGUCAUCUGGAGGGUUGGCAAUGGAGCUGAUAUUCGCACAUGGAGGGACCCCUGGAUCCCUCGGCCGUCGACGUUUCUCCCUAUCACACCUAAGGGGAAUUGUCGGCUGAACCGGGUGGUGGAUUUUAUCGAUGACAAUGGUGCUUGGCGUGUUGAUCGCCUGCGGGAGAUCUUUUGGCCUAUGGAUGUGGACUAUAUAUUAAAAAUAAGGACUUCUCCCCGGAACUGCGAUGAUUUUAUCUCAUGGUUCCCGGGGAAGACUGGAGUUUUCAUGGUAAGGAGCGUGUACAAGUUGGCCACCAACGAUCAUAACGUCACUUUUGCGAAUGGAUCUUCUAGUACAGAUCCGGAGGGUCACCACUCAGUUUGUAACCGUAUUUGGUUGUCUAAUGUACCUCAGAAGAUGAAAAUCAAUGCAUGGAGAGUAGCAACCGGCACACUGGCAACUCAACGGUGCAAAAAUCAGAGGCACUUGGCGACACGAUCUCUAUGCCCUCUUUGUGGUGUAGAGGAGGAGACUACUUUUCAUGCUCUGAUUGCAUGUACGCAGGCGAGGAUCUUGUGGAUUAACAUGCGUAGAAGAUGGCCGCUGCCUAAUGAUGAUGCUCUUAUCGAUAACGGGAAGGAAUGGCUCUUGUUCCUUCUCAACUCUUGCUCUGAGGCGGUCGCAGACAUGGUGAUUUUGUUGAUUUGGAGGAUAUGGCAGAUCCGUAACGACAUAUACCAUGGUAAUGAAGCCCCACAUGUGCUGGCCUCGGUAGAGUUCUUGGAUAGCUACUAUAAAUCUAUCAACCUGGCGGGCAAGUUCACAGUAGAGGAGAUUGUUAAAGGAAAAAUGCCCUUGGGUGCCCCUGCAUGGCCGCGCCAAGAAUCUUCAACGACUACCUCGCCGUGGCCGGCACCGCCACAAGGUUCAGUGGCCCUGUUCGUCAAUGGUUCGUUCCAUCCGGGGGAUGGCUCUGCGGCGGCUGGGAUGGUCCUAAGAAACCACGAAGGGGUGAUUCUCUUUGCAGCGUACAGAUAUAUCUUUCACUGCAAUGAUUUUCUCUGGAGACGGAGCUACAUGCGAUGA
rnacentral:rRNA from 1 species